rnacentral:rRNA from 1 species
AUUGAACGCUGGCGGCAUGCUUUACACAUGCAAGUCGAACGGCAGCACGAAAGAGCUUGCUCUUUUGGUGGCGAGUGGCGAACGGGUGAGUAAUGCAUCGGAACGUACCGAGUAAUGGGGGAUAACUGUCCGAAAGGAUAGCUAAUACCGCAUACGCUUUGAGAAGGAAAGUGGGGGCUCUUCGGACCUCACGUUAUUCGAGCGGCCGAUGUCUGAUUAGCUAGUUGGUGGGGUAAAGGCCUACCAAGGCGACGAUCAGUAGCGGGUCUGAGAGGAUGAUCCGCCACACUGGGACUGAGACACGGCCCAGACUCCUACGGGAGGCAGCAGUGGGGAAUUUUGGACAAUGGGCGCAAGCCUGAUCCAGCCAUGCCGCGUGUCUGAAGAAGGCCUUCGGGUUGUAAAGGACUUUUGUUAGGGAAGAAAAGGAUAGUGUUAAUACCUUUAUCUGCUGACGGUACCUAAAGAAUAAGCACCGGCUAACUACGUG